GGUAUAAGGGACAGGUGAGUCAUCGAAUCUUUGAACGCACAUUGCGCCCCUUGGUAUUCCAUGGGGCAUGCCUGUUCGAGCGUCAUUUGUACCUUCAAGCUCUGCUUGGUGUUGGGUGUUUGUCCUUGCUCUAGUGGCGGGACUCGCCUCAAAGUAAUUGGCAGCCAGUGUUUUGGUUUUGAAGCGCAGCACAAGUCGCGAUUCAAGUCUAUACGCUAGUUUCCACAAGUCUUUUAUCACUUUUGACCUCGGAUCAGGUAGGGAUACCCGCUGAACUUAAGCAUAUCAAUAAGCGGAGGA
rnacentral:misc_RNA from 1 species